rnacentral:rRNA from 1 species
UACGUAGGGUGCAAGCGUUAAUCGGAAUUACUGGGCGUAAAGCGUGCGCAGGCGGUUUUGUAAGUCUGUCGUGAAAUCCCCCGGGCUCAACCUGGGAAUUGCGAUGGAGACUGCAAGGCUGGAGUCUGGCAGAGGGGGGGGUAGAAUUCCACGUGUAGCAGUGAAAUGCGUAGAGAUGUGGAGGAACACCGAUGGCGAAGGCAGCCCCCUGGUCAAGACUGACGCUCAUGCACGGAAGCGUGGGGAGCAAACGAGG